UAAGGAAUAUUGGUCAAUGGGCGCAGGCCUGAACCAGCCAAGCAGCGUGAAGGAUGAAGGCCUUAGGGUUGUAAAGCUCUUUCGCACGCGACGAUGAUGACGGUAGCGUGAGAAGAAGCCCCGGCUAACUUCGUGCCAGCAGCCGCGGUAAUACGAAGGGGGCAAGCGUUGUUCGGAAUUACUGGGCGUAAAGCGCACGCAGGCGGCGUGACGCGUCAGAAGUGAAAUCCCCGGGCUCAACCUGGGAACUGCUUUUGAAACUGUUUUGCUAGAGUGCAGGAGAGGUAAGUGGAAUUCCUAGUGUAGCGGUGAAAUGCAUAGAUAUUACACAGAACACCUAUUGCGAAGGCAGCUGAC
rnacentral:rRNA from 1 species